CAUGAAGCUGGAAUCGCUAGUAAUCGCGAAUCAGAAUGUCGCGGUGAAUACGUUCCCGGGUCUUGUACACACCGCCCGUCACACCAUGGGAGUUGGUAACGCCCGAAGUCAGUGACCCAACCUUAGGGAGGGAGCUGCCGAAGGCGGGACUGAUAACUGGGUGAAGUCGUAACAAGGUAUC
rnacentral:rRNA from 1 species